rnacentral:rRNA from 1 species
AUUGAACGCUGGCGGCAUGCCUUACACAUGCAAGUCGAACGGCAGCACGGGGCAACCUGGUGGCGAGUGGCGAACGGGUGAGUAAUGCAUCGGAACGUACCUUUCAGUGGGGGAUAACGUAGCGAAGGUUACGCUAAUACCGCAUAUUCUGUGAGCAGGAAAGCAGGGGAUCGCAAGACCUUGCGCUGAUUGAGCGGCCGAUGUCAGAUUAGCUAGUUGGUGAGGUAAAGGCUCACCAAGGCGACGAUCUGUAGCGGGCCUGAGAGGAUGAUCCGCCACACUGGAACUGAGACACGGUCCAGACUCCUACGGGAGGCAGCAGUGGGGAAUUUUGGACAAUGGGGGCAACCCUGAUCCAGCCAUGCCGCGUGAGUGAAGAAGGCCUUCGGGUUGUAAAGCUCUUUCGGCCGGGAAGAAAUCGCACGGGCUAAUACCCUGUGUGGAUGACGGUACCGGAAUAAGAAGCACCGGCCAACUCCGUGCCAGCCGCCGCAGUAAGAC